GCGCACGCUUUGGCAGCACAUAUACUAAAAUUGCAGUGAUACACAGAAGAUUAGCCUGGCCCCUGUGCAAGAAUGACACACAAAUUAGUGAAGCAUUCCACAUUUUU
rfam:Loxodonta africana unplaced genomic scaffold scaffold_14, whole genome shotgun sequence.